AUGUAUUCAAGUGCUUCUUCCUAUAUUUUCUGCCCUUCAAAUUCAACAUCAGUAGAAAGUGGAAAGAAGCUCAUUCGUAUCAGUACUGCUCCAUUGCUUGCAUGUUCUUCCAUCAGUUCCAUCCAAGCUCCUUGUCAUGAAUCAUGGGUGGAAGCUUGUGAACAUUCCAAGCGAAAAAGGAAACAGAAAGGAACACCUCACAGAGCUCCAUUAUUUUAG